rnacentral:rRNA from 1 species
AAGGUAGCGAAAUUCCUUGUCGGGUAAGUUCCGACCUGCACGAAUGGCGUAACGAUGGCCACACUGUCUCCUCCUGAGACUCAGCGAAGUUGAAGUGUUUGUGAAGAUGCAAUCUACCCGCGGCUAGACGGAAAGACCCCAUGAACCUUUACUGUAGCUUUGCAUUGGACUUUGACGGGACUUGUGUAGGAUAGGUGGGAGGCGAUGAGACCGGGACGCUAGUUCCGGUGGAGCCGUCCUUGAAAUACCACCCUGGUGUCGUUGAGGUUCUAACCUAGGUCCAUCAUCUGGAUCGGGGACCGUGCAUGGUAGGCAGUUUGACUGGGGCGGUCUCCUCCCAAAAGGUAACGGAGGAGUACGAAGGUCUUCUAGGUACGGUCGGACAUCGUACUGAUAGUGCAAUGGCAAAAGAAGGCUUGACUGCGAGACCGACAAGUCGAGCAGGUGCGAAAGCAGGUCAUAGUGAUCCGGUGGUUCUGUAUGGAAGGGCCAUCGCUCAACGGAU